CGCCGGAGAUCUCGGGUCGAAUCCUGGCCGGAAUGUUCAUUUCUUGUUUAUCAGAGUGUAGCAAAGAUGAGCUACAGACUGAGGAGCAGCAGCAGCUGUGCCAGAAUCAGGCAUGGAAACUGGGAACAAUUAAUCAGAUGAACAUGGAGAAUUAUAUACAGUUCAAUGCCAUGAUGAUUCAGGGAGGAGAGAGGAUGUUGAGGAUAGUACUAGAGUGGAAGAUUUAGGAACUGUAGAAACAGGCCCAGCCAGAGCAAAACUCAAAGAAUACCCUCUCACCAGCUUUGGACUACAGGGAAGUGGUUGCUAGUGUGAAAAUAAAAUUGUCUGGGCUAAGCCCCGGAUGUCCUUCAAUGCUGGAAACGCCUCUGGUUUUAAGUGGUUCUUUCUGUUUCAUGUGGGGGCUUUUUUUGGGAUACAUGUUGGUUACACCCAUAGACUGUAAAAAAGAUGGCCGACGCCCCUUCGCUCUUUUCCAUUGGUGAGAACUGAAGCCGCCAGUGUCCCGAUAUGGCGCUGACAUCUUGGGACUUGAGUCUGUGCAGUUGCGAUUUCGGGACCAGACCUGCGCAGUAGUGAGCAGGAAGUAAAGCCGCGAAAUCAAGGCCCCGCCCUCACUCUCGCUGAAUCAAUCGGAAGCA